ACCGCCUUUAAACGAGAGAAGAAGAAGCUUUGCGGCGGUAAGACGGAGCGCGUCAGUUGACUUUUCUCCGUUUGCUGUUUAUCCUCACACAGCUAUAGAAACAUUAGCCGUUGGUUUAAAAGGCUAAUUUAGCUGAUUACGAAGGGAAAGUUUGCCUAAAGCGCCAUGACUCAACAGGCAGCGGCUCUUCAGACCUACAACAACGAACUUGUCAAAUGUAUUGAGGACUUGUGCUCGAAGCGGGACGAGCUGAACCGCCAGAUUAAGCUGGAGGAAGAUGAGAAGGAGCGACUCCAGCGUGACAUCCGGGUCCUCUCUGAGAAGCUGAGCAAGGUGAAUGAAAGCCUGGCCCAAAGACUGAUCACCAGGACCAACUUGGACCGUACCAUCGCAGAGACCGAGGCGGCAUACACAAAGCUAAUGAAUGAAAACACAAACUCCUGAGUCGCCCUGUCUGGGAAAACAUCAAGGAGGUCAGGAUCCUCCGUUACACUUUCUACUUAAAGAUCCUGGAGAGUUCCCAGUCCCUACUCAGCGUCCUGAAACAAGAAGCAGGAAACCUCAGCAAGGCCACAGGGCCUCGGAAAAAGGACCAUUGAAGCCACAGAAACCACACUGAACUCUGUUGGACCACAAUCCUCUCAUUCUGCACUUUUUAACCCACUGAUCUGUUCCAUUGGGUAUUUUUUUUUCUUUUCUGUAAAGCAAUAAAUGUUUGAUUUUUAACUGUA